rnacentral:lncRNA from 1 species
CGGGGCGUCUCGGAGACCCUAGUCUUCACCCGGCCCACGAGCCUGGCAAGUCCACCGACCGAUCCCUAAGCCGGGUCUUUCUCUUGGAAACCUCGUCAGCAUCCUGCCUGACGUCUUAUGAGAUUUAUUAAAGCCCUAAGAACAACGAGGCUGAUAUCUGAGAUACUCAUUGAAGGCCCGGGAGAAUUAGGUACAGAUGAUGGCACUGUUGAAAAAUCACAAACGAAGCCAAUUUGAGCAAGAACUGUGUUGGUCCUUGGAGCGGGCUGGAGGCCCUUGGGUGAGAAAAACAGCCACAUCCAGGAUUGGGAGGAUUUACUACUUCCAAAGACAGAUAAAUUAAUAGAAAUUGCAAAAGAUAUAAAAGUAUGGGGUGGACAGGUUUAUUACUGUACACGGUGAUUUUCUUUUUUAACGUGCUGUAACUUGUAGCCAUUUUUAUUAAUGGGCCAAUCUAAACAGGGUUGAAAGAUUAACUGUGACUCCACCCCAAGUCACAAUAGGAUCCUGUACUUCUCUUUUUAUAGCUGUGAAGACUGGGAAUCAUUCUUGGCUCAGUGUAAUGUUUAUAAGGCAUGGCUCAUCUCAUUGAAUGAAAUUUUUUAAAAAAGAGUUUGAAGUUUGAGUUUAUGAUAGCAAUAAAAGUACUCUAUAUUCCUGGAUUAAAGUUGCUUUAAUUAAUGAGAAAAGUAAGCCAGCCAAAAGAAACUGGUGACAAUUUAAGAAGAGUAUUGAAAAACCACUGCAAUACUUGCCAGGGCCAUGCCACUCUACAGUUCAAACAUUUGCACACCCAAUUCGUUUAACCUUCACAACACUCAUGUGAGGGCAGCAUAGAGGCUGUCCUUAUUUUAUGGAUGAGAAAACCAAAGCUCAAAGAAACUAAGUGAUGGUCCAGGUUCUCAUAAGAACCGAGUGGUUGAGAAGACCUCUGGAACCAGCAGCCAUCCUAACUGCAUGGACUGAACUUUGAAAGACUAUUGCUCAGCACUCUUCACCUUAUCCAUUCAGAUAAGAUCACGAAGAUGGACGAAUAUGCUGAGCUGACUCAUUCCCCUCAGUAUAGAGCAGUCAUCUUCGUGGUGACAUUCAUCCUGACGAUGCUAAACAGGUUGACAUAUGGUGUCAGAAGUGAGAUUGGAAGUGAUCUCACCUUCAUGGACUGGCAUUCCCUGGAAAUGUGUUUAAUACCAACAUGAGCCCCUUUGUGUGUUCAGCUGCUUCCAAGGACAGCUGACUCCUCCAAUUGUGGGACCCCUCAGAAAUGGUGUGCACUGCCUGCGGAGGCCAGGAAGUCACCUGAGAAAUCCACGCCCAUGAAGCCACGUGAGCCUGCAUUAGCCUACUGAAUGACGUCAGCUGGAGAGAAGCAGCCAACAGCUAGCAUCACGGCCCUGGUCCUGUAAGUGAGGUCAUCUUAGAUCAUCCUGCUCCAGUCAACCCACCAGAAGAUUGCAAGCUUUUGAGUGACCCCAGCACAGUGCCCUGUAUGUAUUAGGUGCUCAAUAUAUUUUGAAUGAAGACACGAUUAGACUGCCAAUGCUUGGGGAGAAAGGCCCAAGGAAGGUGUGGGCUUCAAUGCCGUGUCCUAAAGAACCAGCAACUACGGGCACUUUAAGUGUCCUUCAGCAUCAAGGUGGCUCUCUUUGUCCUUCAGCAUCAAGAUUAGAAGGUAUAAAUCUCAAAAGCAAACUUUCAGCUACACCUUUUCCACUAAUGAUUUAAAGACCAAGCUUUGAAAAGCUGAAGAAGAAAACAAGUGGAUGCCAGUGUUCGGUGAGGGAGGCCACAGCCGCGCGAAAUUUGUUCUAAAAGUAGGUAGCCACAGAUCCGUCUGCACAUAUCCAAGAGGGUUUCCCCCAGGAGGUGGGAAGGCUGGGGAAGGAAUGGACUGUUUAUAUCCAAGGACCUUUUCGUUUGCUUGGAAGAGCUGUUAAAGACUCUGGUAAAUAAAGGAGACUGAACAUAUGGUGAGCCCUCAAUUCAUAGCAGCCAUUAUCACUGUUGUUAUUAACAUUAUUUUAUCCUCAUCCUCGGGUUCUAGUUUUUCCCCC